rnacentral:rRNA from 1 species
UACGUAGGGUGCGAGCGUUGUCCGGAAUUAUUGGGCGUAAAGAGCUCGUAGGCGGUCUGUCGCGUCGGUCGUGAAAACUUGGGGCUUAACCCUGAGCUUGCGGUCGAUACGGGCAUGACUGGAGUUCGGUAGGGGAGACUGGAAUUCCUGGUGUAGCGGUGAAAUGCGCAGAUAUCAGGAGGAACACCGGUGGCGAAGGCGGGUCUCUGGGCCGAUACUGACGCUGAGGUGCGAAAGCGUGGGGAGCAAACAGG